rnacentral:rRNA from 1 species
UAUCUCUGUAGAGUCUGCAUAUCAAUAAGCGGAGGAAAAGAAACUAACUAGGAUUCCCUCAGUAACGGCGAGUGAAGCGGGAAGAGCUCAAAUUUGAAAUCUUCAAGGUUUACCUUGACGAAUUGUAGUUUAAAGAAGUGUUUUCUGUUGGAGUUUUGGUAAAAGUUCUUUGGAAUAGGACAUCAUAGAGGGUGAGAAUCCCGUAUUUGACCAUUAUUUCCAGCUUUGUGAUACACUUUCAAAGAGUCGGAUUGUUUGGGAAUGCAGUCCAAAAUGGGUGGUAAAUUUCAUCUAAAGCUAAAUAUUGGCGAGAGACCGAUAGCGAACAAGUACCGUGAGGGAAAGAUGAAAAGAACUUUGAAAAGAGAGUUAAACAGUACGUGAAAUUGUCAAAAGGGAAGCGUUUGACACCAGUGUUGUUUCUACGUAAAUCAAUUUAUGAUGGCUUGAUGCUAAGCUUUAAGACUUUAUCCGCUUGUUGUUUAGUUUUCUUGUCUUUGUGAAUGCACUUUUCGUGGAACAAGUCAACAUCAAUUUCUUUUGCUGUAAAAGGGUAAGAGGAAGGUGGCUUCGGCUUCGGUUGAAGUGUUUAUAGCCUUUUAUCUCUGCAGUCGGAGAGAUUGAGGUCUGCAGCGUAGACUCUUCGGGGUUAGAUACGUCGGUGCUAAGCUAUAGCUUUUCAUAGACAACUUGUUGACUAUGUUUAGUCAUGUGGCUUACCCGCUGGCGCUAUUUUACCUACGCUUAGGAUGUUGAGUCAUCACACAUCUCU